rfam:Candida parapsilosis strain CDC317 mitochondrial contig 006121
GGAUGUAUGACUGAGAGGUUUAAGGUGUGAUAUUUGAGCUAUCAAGGUGUAAACCCACGUGUUCGAAUCACGUUGCAUCCG